GGACCGGUGGUGUAGUGGUAACGUGUUGCGUCUGAACGCGGAACGGGGUGGUUCGAUUCCCUACCGGUCCA
rnacentral:tRNA from 1 species